rnacentral:lncRNA from 1 species
GAUUUAGAGCAGAAGAGAGACUUACAUUACACAAGGAUCACUGUACCUACUGGGUUCAAAAACAGUUUGCACAUAGAAGAAAGAAAACCAGUUUAGAAAGGAAUAUAGUAAUCCACGUAAGUGAUAACUGUGACUUGGUAUCAGGGUGGUAUCAAUAGAAAUUUUGAGAAAUAACUGGGAAUUCUGCAUAUAUGUAAAGAUAUUACAAUAGGAUUUCCAACAAAUUGGAUGUGUAUAUGAGAGAAGGGAAAGAUCUGAAAUGAAGCCAGCAUGUUUGUUUCAUCAACUGAGCGGAUGCUAUUGCCAUCCACCUAUGUGAGAAAUGAGAAAGAAUCUUAGUGGAGUAAGUUUGUAGGGGGCAAAGGAAACGAAAACUUCAGUUUUGGGCAUGCUAGUUUUGAAAUAUCUAUUUGACAUCUCAAUGAAAUGUCAGGUAGGCAGGGAUAAUAACGUGGUUAGAAGAGAACAAUUAGUGUGGCGUCAUGGAAGCCAAUAAAGAAAGUAUAUCAAGGACAAUGGACUUGAUGUUGAUAAGCCAAGUAUGGUAAGAAUUGAAAAGAUGGCCAUUUGAUUUGGCAAUCCAGAGUUCAUUGGUGAUCUUGACAAGGAUGCUUUUGUUGUAAUUAUCAGAGGAAACACCUGAUUGGAAAGGAUUACAAAUUGUAAGAGGAUGGAACUAGUGUUACUAGCAAUGGUCAACACUCUCUAGCUAUUUUGUUGUAAAAGGGAGAAGACAACUGGAAUUAAAACUAAUGGGCAAAAUGUGGUUUAAAGCAGGAUUAUGUUUCAGAUUGGAGAAGAAUAACAUUUUUGUUUUGCUGGUGGUGAUUACUAUGACUACAUAAGGAAAAAAUAGUGACGCAAAGAAAAAGAAGUAAUUCCAAUGUGUAGUUUUAAAUAGGUGAAAUGAAUUGUAUUUGUGCAUAAGGGAAGGUUUUACUGAGGAGAGAAUAUUUUUAUCUCAAGAAACUUGAUAGAGAACAGAGUAUAUGAGUUUGGUUGUGGGUACAUAUAUGAGGCUGUGAGACUUUCUGAAGCUUCUCCCUGGUUACUUCAAUUUUAUCAGUGGAAAAAGAAGCAAAGUCAUGAACUGAGAGCAUUAGGGUGGAGGUGUUCAGAAGAAAGGAAAAACUGUGAAAUAGUUCUCCAAGAUAGUGGAGAGUACAUGGACUGGUUAAAUAUAUUAUAUUGUGGGCAGCUGUAGGAGUCCUCUAACAAUUUGUCAAAUUGAAUUUAAAGUGAGAUCAUUAAGACCUGUGUGUUUCUCUGUGCAUCUUUAAUUGCACAGGUGCAGGUGUUGAAGAAACAGUGAGUUAGAUUUAUGUAGGGCUGUAAUUUUGCCUAAUGAAAGAUGUUAAGGGGCCUUGAAAAAUAUGCGGGAUCAAUUGAUUUAAGGUCAUGUUGGCAUCAAAUGACUGCUAGAGUUGGGAUACUAGAGCAAAUGAGCUAGAAAGAUAGAAGAUAAUGAUCAGAGACAUAGAUGCAUGAAACAGGGAUUAUAGAAGUAUGGACACUACUGGUAAUGGAUAUGUCUAUAAAUGACCUGGACUUAUUUGGCUGCAAUAGAGUGGAGGACAAGAUGUUAGAGGAAAGAAGAUUAAGGAAUUAAGAUGCCAAAUUUUAGGAAGGAUAUCAUAUAUGUGUUUAUUGAAAUUGCCAAUAACUAAAUUAGGAGUCAUGUUGAAGAGAGUGGCAGUUAGGCAGGAGAUAAAAUAGUUGAGAAACAAGGAGGGGUUAAUUGCAGUAUCAUUAAAUGGUUGCAACAGUGAAGAUAAUGAUCAAUAUAAUCUGCCGACCAGAGAUUGAAAGCUGGGAUUUACAGGGAUGGGAGGAAAAUCGUAUAGAAACUAUAGUAACAAUAGAAGUGGCCGUGUGUCAAUGUGAUCCCAUCUCAUGUGAUUUUUAAAACUGUAUUAUAUUUGUCAUACUGUAGGAAUCAUUAAGUAAUGAAAUCUAUUUGACUCAUGUGUUGAUAUUUAGAAUAGGGAAGUAAGAGUAAACACAAGGUGUAAUGAAAGAGUACAUGGAUGAAAAUCUUCGGAGAAAAUUUUGUGUUAGAGAGAAUUUGCAUGAAAGAUAAAUAGUUGUCAUACCUAUAAGCAGGGUCUUUAGCCCUUAACUACUUAAGUAUUCAGAACAGGUUUCAGACUGUGUAUAUAUAGUUAUGAUAAUAAACAGGCCCUAUUCUAACCCAGCUCUUAAACUUCUGCAUCUGGGCAUGCUACUUAUGUGUAAAUGAAAACUAAAUAGAACUGCAUUAAGGAGCUAAGUAAUCUCAAGAAGGAAGCGCUCAUGUUUGACAGUAAGAGGUACAUUUUUCAGGCCGG